rnacentral:misc_RNA from 1 species
AGCAUACAAGAAAUCUGCAGGACGUCCAGAAUAUGUAGUAGCAAAUGAUCUUGUAGUAAAAUCAUGUUUCUUAUUUCCUCCAUCGAAUCGAUUCACUUUGCUCUCAGCAUGAAACCUUGUCAUUGGCAUAAUAGGCUCAUAAGUCCUCUGAUGCAUCUCAAUUGAUGAUUUUUCACUAGAUUUAUAUGCAUCUCCCACAACUCCUACAGCUUUAUGAUUAUUACAUCCCAACAAAAUGCUCGAACGACG